GCCGAGGUGGCGGAAUUGGUAGACGCGCAUGGUUCAGGUCCAUGUGAACGAAAGUUCGUGGAGGUUCGAGUCCUCUUCUCGGCACCA
rnacentral:tRNA from 2 species